GUAAUUUUUGCUUGUAUUUUGGAGAAACUCGAUUGAUUUCUAGCAAAAUUGGAUUACCACUAUAUCGUCGCUUAUUAUUAUUUGUUGCUGCUUGGGACAAUAAAGUUAAGUCAGCAACCGUCUACCAGACUGCCAGAUUCAUCUCUUUUAAAGGAUGUCGUACCUUUCCAGAUACUGCCGAUGGUGAAGCUUGGGUGCACUGGGCCGGUUAUCCAGCCGUGUGGAAUCAACAUCUCCAACUGAACUGGGGCCGGGAAUUAUAUAAGAAUCCUUAGCAGCAUGAGUGCCAGCCAGUCAUUGCUGUUCUUUGCAUUGCUGAGGAGGACAGUCCUGUCAACAUAACAGUUUGUUCAAUAACAGGAGACAAACAGAAACACAGAGGUGCUAUACAUUCCGAUGGAAAAGACAACAAAAGCAUCUCCCAUCAUUUUGGCGUGGCUCAGAUCAAGAGGAGAAUUUUAAGAAAGGUGAUGGUUGGGCACACACAAGAAGACAUAGAUCACAGGUGUCCAGGCAUAUGAGUAGACAGGAGUUUCACACUCUGCCAAACUUACUUCAUCAGAGGAGCAGAAAGCUUCUCAAGAUCCCGCACUGCACACUUAGAUAUAGUCUUUGACUACAACAAGGGGAUGAAAGUACAGAGAGGUCCAGUUGAAAUCAAUUCUGUGCUGCGUCAUUUCUUCAUUCUGGAAGUCGAUGGACAUGAUUUAUCAUGGCAUCAAGUGUGCAGUUUGUCGACUAUCAGCAGUCUUGUUCACCAGUUGUGCAACUUGAGCUGGUAGCUUUAUUGCUUGAAGCCACAGCAUAAGAGAAGGUGAAGGUGCAGGCUCAUCAAAAAGUCACAAAAGUUGAAACUAGGAAAAGAAGUUUGUCAAGAGUGUGAAUCUAUUUGCUUUGAAAACAAUUGUUACAAUGAUUUGGUUUCCUUUGAAACUUGAUACAUACUAUGUGUAUGUUGAAUGAAUUGAGAUGCUUAAAUAAAGAACCGCUAUUCAAAUAUCAGGAAACUGCAUUUUUCAUACUAAUUUUUCAUACUAAAGGGUAAAUGAUGUCGCCAUUUCCUGUAUGUAUUUAAAUAAGAUAUGUUUCCACAAUUAAUAUUUUUAGGAAAUUUUUCUCAACCUAAUGAAUGAGAUUAAAUUGUACAGCGUUAUAUGAGCUUAAUAUGUGUUUUCUGUUUCUUUAAAAUUGGUGAAAAAUUGUUAGAAGAUAAUUAGACCAGUAUCCAUUACUGCCUGGGCAUAUAAUAUAAUUAAACCCUGUUUAGGGGCACGAGGCAAACAGAGUUACUUUCAAACGUUAAAGCUGCACUCUCACAUUUUGGACGUUUUGACAACUUUUCUCAUUUUAUGUCUUGGAUUGGAACCAUCCAAUUUUUUGCGAAAAAAUAAAUGGCAGAUUUUUCUAUAUAAGUUAAAACAUUGAUGUUUUAUGCACUUUUCUUAAACCGUUAGUAACAUUAAUUUUCGAACGGAAAUAUGAAAUCUGCGAUCUGAUCGUUUGUCAGCAAUCUAUUAUCAUUGGUUUGCAGAUAAUUACGCAAAAAAUUGCUCAUUCCAAAACAAAAAAAAGUUGUGAAAACGGUAUAUCUGUGGGAGUGCAGCUCUAAAUGUUUAAUUUCUUGAUUUUACUACUGUAUUAGAAAUUACGGGGGUUGGGGCAUAUUUUUAGUGUUUUUAUUGCUUUUUUAUGAUUCAUACAGUCACACUUUAUAAUCCUCAGGGCAUAACUUACAAAUAGACAAAACUGGAAAAUGGUCAUAUCAAAAGGUCAAAGAUAAUGCAAGUUGAACAAUCAUAUUGUUCAUGGCUUGUAUUUUUGGUAUAUUUUGUUGCAUAUGCUAU